ACUGCACUGUGCCUUUGUCACUGACAUGUGGGCCCAUUGAUCUCCAGGCCUACAUGUCAGUGACAAAGGCACGAUGCAGUC
rnacentral:pre_miRNA from 1 species